UACAGAGGGGGCCAGCGUUAUUCGGAAUUAUUGGGCGUAAAGGGCGCGUAGGCGGCCAUGCGUGUCUUCCGUGAAAUCCCUCGGCUUAACCGAGGACGUGCGGAAGAAACUGCAAGGCUCGAGUCCGGAAGAGGGGGGCGGAAUUCCCAGUGUAGCGGUGAAAUGCGUAGAUAUUGGGAGGAACACCAGUGGCGAAGGCGGUCCCCUGGGCCGGAACUGACGCUGAGGCGCGAAAGCUAGGGGAGCAAACGGG
rnacentral:rRNA from 1 species